rnacentral:rRNA from 1 species
GAUGAACGCUGGCGGCGUGCCUAAUACAUGCAAGUCGAGCGAACAGACGAGGAGCUUGCUCCUCUGACGUUAGCGGCGGACGGGUGAGUAACACGUGGAUAACCUACCUAUAAGACUGGGAUAACUUCGGGAAACCGGAGCUAAUACCGGAUAAUAUAUUGAACCGCAUGGUUCAAUAGUGAAAGACGGUUUUGCUGUCACUUAUAGAUGGAUCCGCGCCGCAUUAGCUAGUUGGUAAGGUAACGGCUUACCAAGGCAACGAUGCGUAGCCGACCUGAGAGGGUGAGCGGCCACACUGGAACUGAGACACGGUCCAGAAUCCUACGGGAGGCAGCAGUAGGGAAUCUUCCGCAAUGGGAGAAAGCCUGACGGAGCAACGCCGCGUGAGUGAUGAAGGUCUUCGGAUCGUAAAACUCUGUUAUUAGGGAAGAACAAAUGUGUAAGUAACUAUGCACGUCUUGACGGUACCUAAUCAGAAAGCCACGGCUAACUACGUG